rnacentral:rRNA from 1 species
UACGUAGGUGGCAAGCGUUGUCCGGAAUUAUUGGGCGUAAAGCGCGCGCAGGCGGUCUUUUAAGUCUGAUGUGAAAGCCCACGGCUCAACCGUGGAAGGUCAUUGGAAACUGGGGGACUUGAGUGCAGGAGAGAAGAGUGGAAUUCCACGUGUAGCGGUGAAAUGCGUAGAGAUGUGGAGGAACACCAGUGGCGAAGGCGACUCUUUGGCCUGUAACUGACGCUGAGGCGCGAAAGCGUGGGGAGCAAACAGG